UACAGAGGGGGCAAGCGUUAUUCGGAAUUAUUGGGCGUAAAGGGCGCGUAGGCGGCAUGGCAAGUGGAUGGUGAAAUCCCUCGGCUUAACCGAGGAACUGCCGUCCAAACUGCUUCGCUUGAGACCGGGAGAGGUGAGUGGAAUUCCCAGUGUAGCGGUGAAAUGCGUAGAUAUCGGGAAGAACACCCGUGGCGAAGGCGGCUCUCUGGGACGGUACUGACGCUGAGACGCGAAAGCGUGGGGAGCGAACAGG
rnacentral:rRNA from 1 species